AAAUUGAAGAGUUUGAUCAUGGCUCAGAUUGAACGCUGGCGGCAGGCCUAACACAUGCAAGUCGAGCGGAAACGAGUUAUCAGAACCUUCGGGGAACGAUAACGGCGUCGAGCGGCGGACGGGUGAGUAAUGCCUAGGAAAUUGCCCUGAUGUGGGGGAUAACCAUUGGAAACGAUGGCUAAUACCGCAUGAUGCCUACGGGCCAA
rnacentral:rRNA from 1 species